rnacentral:rRNA from 1 species
AACGAACGCUGGCGGCAGGCUUAACACAUGCAAGUCGAACGCAUCCUUCGGGGUGAGUGGCAGACGGGUGAGUAACGCGUGGGAACGUGCCCUUCAGUUCGGGAUAACCCAGGGAAACUUGGGCUAAUACCGGAUACGUGCGAGAGCAGAAAGAUUUAUCGCUGAAGGAUCGGCCCGCGUCUGAUUAGCUAGUUGGUGGGGUAAUGGCCCACCAAGGCGACGAUCAGUAGCUGGUCUGAGAGGAUGAUCAGCCACAUUGGGACUGAGACACGGCCCGAACUAGUACUGGAGGCAGCAGUGGGGAAUAUUGGACAAUGGGCGCAAGCCUGAUCCAGCCAUGCCGCGUGAGUGAUGAAGGCCUUAGGGUUGUAAAGCUCUUUCGUCCGGGACGAUAAUGACGGUACCGGAAGAAGAAGCCCCGGCUAACUUCGUGCCAGCAGCCGCCGUAA